rnacentral:rRNA from 1 species
GGGAGGUAGUGACAAUAAAUAACAAUACGGGGUCCUUUAGGGUCUCGUAAUUGGAAUGAGUACAAUUUAAAUCUCUUAACGAGGAACAAUUGGAGGGCAAGUCUGGUGCCAGCAGCCGCGGUAAUUCCAGCUCCAAUAGCGUAUAUUAAAGUUGUUGCAGUUAAAAAGCUCGUAGUUGAACCUUAGGCCCGUGCGGGCGGUCCGUCCUCUGGGCGAGCACUGCUCCGUCGCGGGUCUCACCUUCUGGCGAGCGUGGAUGCCAUUUAUUUGGUGUCCGCGGGAACCAGGACCUUUACCUUGAAAAAAUUAGAGUGCUCAAAGCGGGCUCCGACGCUUGAAUACAUUAGCAUGGAAUAAUGAAAUAGGACGAUGGUUCUAUUUUGUUGGUUUCCGGGACGGUCGUAAUGAUUAAUAGGGAUAGUUGGG